GCACUGCUGACGAGUCUCAACUAAGACGAAACAGCUGUCCAGUGC
rnacentral:hammerhead_ribozyme from 1 species